rnacentral:rRNA from 1 species
UACGGAGGAUGCGAGCGUUAUCCGGAUUUAUUGGGUUUAAAGGGUGCGUAGGCGGGCUUUUAAGUCAGCGGUAAAAAUUCGGGGCUCAACCCCGUCCGGCCGUUGAAACUGGGGGUCUUGAGUGGGCGAGAAGAAGGCGGAAUGCGUGGUGUAGCGGUGAAAUGCAUAGAUAUCACGCAGAACCCCGAUUGCGAAGGCAGCCCUCCGGCGCCCUACUGACGCUGAGGCACGAAAGUGCGGGGAUCGAACAGG